rnacentral:rRNA from 1 species
GAUGGUGGUUACAGGGUGGGUGUUCACCUCUUCCCAUUCCGAACAGAGAAGUUAAGCCCCACUCCGCCGAUGAUACUGCAAUAAAAUGUGGGAAAGUAGGUAGCCGCCACAAU